GGUGAGGUGUCCGAGUGGCUGAAGGAGCACGCCUGGAAAGUGUGUAUACGGCAACGUAUCCGGGGGUUCGAAUCCCCGCCUCACCGCCA
rnacentral:tRNA from 1 species